rnacentral:rRNA from 1 species
GACGAACCGUGCAAACGUUGUUCGGAAUCACUGGGCUUAAAGGGCGCGUAGGCGGACCGGCUAGUCUGUGGUGAAAGCCCCCAGCUUAACUGGGGAAGUGCCAUGGAUACUGCCGGUCUGGAGGAGGGUAGGGGCAUCUGGAACGCUGGGUGGAGCGGUGAAAUGCGUUGAUAUCCAGCGGAACUCCGGUGGCGAAGGCGAGGUGCUGGACCCUUUCUGACGCUGAUGCGCGAAAGCCAGGGGAGCAAACGGG